rnacentral:rRNA from 1 species
GACGAACGCUGGCGGCGUGCUUAACACAUGCAAGUCGAACGGAAAGGCCCCUCUGGGGGUCCUCGAGUGGCUAACGGGUGAGUAACACGUGAGUAACCUGCCCUUGACUUCGGGAUAACUUCAAGAAACUGGGUCUAAUACCGGAUAGGAAUCCUUUCCGCAUGGUGGGGGUUGGAAAGCUUCGGCGGUUUUGGGUGGACUCGCGGCUUAUUAGCUUGUUGGUUGGGUAGUUGCUUACUAAGGCUUUGACGGGUCGCCGGCCCGGGUGGGGGACCGGCCACAAUGGGACUGGGAUAAGGCCCAGACUCCGACGGGGGGCAGCAGGGGGGAAUAUUGCACAAUGGGCGGAAGCCUGAUGCAGCAACGCCGCGGGCGGGAUGACGGGCUUCGGGUUGGAAACCGCUUUCAGCAGGGGCGAAGCUUGUGGUGACGGUACCUGCAGAAGAAGCACCGGCUAACUACGUG